rnacentral:misc_RNA from 1 species
GCCAUGGGGUAAAUGGUUUCCCAACCUCUAGCUUGUAAGUUGGGAGUCCUAUUGUGAUUUUAAAUAUAUGUCUCUGCCAAUUUGUAUGCAAUUGUAAUUCUGUUUCAAUCCCUCUGAAAAAAAAAUGCACCAAAUAGUUGGUGCAACAAUAGCUUUGUGAAAGAAGGUAAAAGCAUGUUUUCCCCUUGUUGUCCUCCAUGGAUAAUGUGAGCUCUGUCUUCUAGGGUUUUGUAUGGUAUGUAAUCGUACUGAAUUCCUUGAACAUCUCUCUUUUGUUUUCGAGUUCUGCCGCAGCAAUGAUAAGUGGC